UCAUUUUGGCAAUAAAUACACUAAAAUUGGGAUAAUACACAGAUUUGCAUGCCUGCUGAGCAAGGACUACACACAAAUUCAUGAACCAUCCCAUAUUUUU
ensembl:snRNA U6 U6 spliceosomal RNA